rnacentral:misc_RNA from 1 species
CUGUACUGAUGUGUCAGAGGAAUCUCGUGUAUGCUAUAUCGUGACACUGCCCGGGACCUGCCGCGCGCGCGGCGAUACACUUGAUGCGCGCGUAGGAGUGGCUUUCGUGAAUCGAAUACCGUAAGACAGAUCAGUUUGUGCGAUCGCGCCGCUCGUCUCGACGGAUGUUUACGAUUGGCAUGUUAAAUGGCAGUGAACAUGGAAGUGUCGGACGCGACCAGAGAGGUUGACACUUGUCUCUCGACGGAUUUGAUGGAAGCCGACGAUACUAAUUCGAAGAUCAACGAUGACACGUUGAAGAAUGAGCCGCGCGCCGACGAUAUAACGGGUGGCGAUGAGAAAUCCGUGGAGGCGCGAUCGACGAACGACGGGUUAUGUACUGGUGCUUCUGACAGCAGUAAUGUCGUAAGCGAGAAACGUGAGGAAAUUGCCGAUUCAUCACAAGCGGCAUCGGAAGAUCGCAGGACCGAAUCGUCGGAAGCAACAAUGGAAAAUGCCGGCAGUAGCCAAGGUGCUCAGACUCCGUUGGCUUUCACCAUUGAUUUCGGUAACAACAAGGAAGUGGACACAGCGAGGUAUCAGAAUCUUUUCGAGAGGUACAAUGCCAGGCACAAGCGAAAUCUCUCUACGUCCAAGGUGGAAGUAAAAUCGAAGAAGCCAAGUACUAUACUUUCUCCAAACCUGGUGCAAAAGCAGAAAGUUCCUAGCACUCAUUCAGAAGGUUACUUUAGUAGCGAGGAUGAUACAAAGCGAAAAACUGACCAAUUAUCAGAAAGACUUAAACAAUUAGGCAUCAAGAAUCUUUCAAGAGCACAUUCUAGCACAAAGAAGUCUUCGAAUGAAGGCCCCUGUCAUCAAAAUAAGCAGAAUUCAAUGACAAAAUCCUGCGAUGAUGAAUUGCGGCGUAACAAAUCAUUGUCACCUCAUAGCCUCUCUUUAGAACUUGAAUCCAAUGAAAACAUAUACUGGACAUCUCAAAGAUCUGCAACGAUAAAUGAUUUAAGUCGUAUUCAAAUUAGCAAUUAUGAUGACGACGAAAAUGAAAAGCAAUACACGAAGAAUAUCGAGUACAUUGAAAUAGAUCGCGAAUGCAAGGAAAUAAAUGAUAUUGAAGAUAAUAAAGUAUCUAAUAUGAAUUAUAUUACCGAUGAUUUUAAUAUAAAAAAUGCAAACGAAACGGACAACAACUUAACGAGCGUCAGUUACACAUUGGAUCUGAAUGCAGAUAUCAUAACGGAGACCAAUCUGGAUGUAUUUAACGUCAGCAAUAUCGAUGCUGGUUCCGAUGGUGCAGUGAGUGAAGCUGGGACCUAUACGAUUCACAAAGAUUAUACUGAUGAGGAAAAAGCGAGAAUGGAUAUCGAUAAAGUUUUCAGUGUCGGUGUUCUGACAGAAGAUGAGAGCAACGAGACAUAUGUUCACAAUUUUAAGAUGAGCAUUUCUCGCGAUAAUAACGCGUGGAUAUCGGAAUGGGCUACUCAAGUAGCCGAGCACAACUCGUUACCUCCGUUAAUAGGUGGCUCAACGGGACGUACACCACCUCUGAGUCCCACCAAGAUACCAUCUCCGAUUCAUGCUAGAUCUCAACGAAUGUCACGUAACCGUUAUGAGCAACCGGAUAAUAAUAUCGAUACGGAUACGUAUGUACGAAUAAAAGAAAGGAUGGGUUUGAUCUCGAGUCAGCAUCAAAUUAUAGACUCCGGCGGUGAAUCUGACGACGACACCAGCAAUAGUUACAACACACCGCCCAAUAGCUCACAACGUACACCUGUGCACGUUCGACGCGGUAGCUUGUCCGAGUCUUUAUUUCGACGAGCAAACAGCAACGAAACUAGGCGAAGCGCUCGAAAAUACAUGAGUUCUGCCAAAUCAAAAACUGCUGAUACCAAUGUAGAAUUAUUGAAAAGCCCGUCCCAAGUUUUAUCACCUCUUCAUUUUGAAAGAAGAAGCAGUUCUUUAGAUAGGAAAGAAUGUGCUUCUGAUACAACGGAAUCUAAUACGUCCAGAAGAAAUAGUAUGAAGUAUCAUAAAGAAGAAGACUGCAAACAUACAAAUAGUCCCAUCUUAAGUCGUCUUAGACCGCCUACGCCAAAAUUGACCAACAGUCCAAUCGUGAGUCGCAAGGCUGCUACAACGAAGAUGCUUAAUUCUCCUAUGUUGGAAAGACCUAAACACUUGGCGAAGUCGUCUCAACAAGCCAAAAAUAUAGGAUAUUUUACGUGCGUCGAAAAUAGUCCAUAUAUGUUGCGAAAAUCUAACAGCACUACGAAUUAUCAUGAAGAAACUAGUUAUUUUGAUAAGGAUAUGCCUAUUAAAGCGCCUAAUAUGUUGCGAAACAGUCCAGAACUUCAACGGCAUCUCAAUAUACAAAGAUCAUCGAGCAACGCGAGUAUUAGAAACAUGAAGUCGCAGAAUAUGGUGUCGCGUCGUAGCAGUUUUAAUAACAGCGACUUUGACAGAAUAUCAUCGAGGGGAAAGUUUGCUGUCGCCUCUGACAGCAGUAGCGAAGCUGGCGAGCAACAAGGAAAAUCCCCUCUAAUGCCAAUCUCGUCUGGAAUCAAGUUAAAUAGAGCUUUCAGCAUAAGAAGAGCGAGAUUAAAUUGCGAAUCCGAUACAACGCCGAAUACGACCCCGGAAGAAAGACGCAGGAGAGCACAAUCCGAGAUAAAGACUGUAGCACCCGCGAAUAAGCAACAGAAUUAUCAUCGUAGUCGCACAAAUAGUGUCGGGGCGCACAAUAAAGAGUUAUCGAAGAAACCAGAGCCAACGAAAUUCAGAGCACCGUCCAUGUCUAGGACUGAUACCGGGAGAUUUAGUAUGAGGGCACCGAAGUCCGCUCAUCAUCCUUCCAUUAGUCAGAAAACAAAUCAAAAGCCAAGUAAAGACCACAAGAAAUCAACUAGAAGCAAUUCCACUCUUACGUCCAAGGAGGUAGAGUUUCAAAAUUGGAAGAGACGGAAAAGUUACGAUCCGAUGAAAGCAGCGGCCGAAGGUAGAAAGAAAUUAAUAGACAGCACGAAGAAACAUCAUAGUACCGAGGACGGUUCUGGACACCAUGACAGUUCUGUGCUGAGAUCUGCAAGUUUUCAUGGUACAGGAGGUACUCUCUCAUUAGCCAACGACUGGUCGGACAAUGAAUUAAAUUAUCCCUACGAAGAUAAUCAAGUGCCGCCGCCUAGCAGUCCGCAAUUGGAGAGCGACAGUGAUUUGGAAACUUCGUCCUAUCUGCAAACGACACAAAACGUCGUGUCCGCCAUGUCUGCUCGCAUGACGGGAUAUUGCCCUCCACUAGAUUCCGAUAACGAGAGUGAUGAAGAUACGAGUCACAGCCUGCAUCAAAACAUAUCGAAAGGAUUAUGCCAUCCGAGCGACACGGAGAGCAGCGAUGAACAGCGGCAUCCUAUCCCGCAAUCUUCUCUCUGCAACUCUAAAUACAAAGACUUUAGUAUGCGUAGGGCAAAAUUAGAUCUGCAACGAACAAAACCUGUGUCUUCCAAUAUAAACAAAGCUAAAAAUUUAUCGCACGACGUUCGUAACAAGUCCGAGUCCGUUUCCAGCACCAAUAGAAUAGAUUCUGGACGAUCUAGUGCGCGAGUUAAUAGAGCUUCAAGCAUGGGGCCUAAAAGCAAGCCAAAGGAACAGAAAAAGCCUCCGACACCAAACGUACGGGAAGUCGAAAUGCAAAACUGGAAACGUCGCAAAAGCUACGAUCCCAUGAAAGCAGCAAUGGAAGGAAGGAGAAAAGCGGGUUUGGCGAAGAAAAAUAUCAAUUCAAAUCUGUCACCGAGGGUGGAUAGCGAUCGAUAGUCUAAAAAUAGUGUGGCAAAACAAGCAAGUGGUAUGGUACAAACUUGUUUGAACAUUUUGUGCUAUAGAUUCCCUGAAGAGCCAUGUAGCAAGAUCGCAAAGUUUUCAUGGAUCAGUAGGAUUGGCUAUCAGUGACUGGAGCGACGAGGAACCGGUCAUAUCUGCAGA